ACGUACAAGCUGAUGAAAUCACGUGCCAUCUUGCGCAUAAUUUAAGUGGUUAGCGUCAAGCACAUGUAUUGCGUCACACAUGAUUGCUCGUGGUAACACAAAAACUUAGUUAACAUUUGUAAUUAGAGGAUAAGUUUUUGGAUGGGUCGAGAAAUUAUCCAAUCUUGCAGAAACGACAAACAUUUUAUGGAUGACCACGGCUUCACUCGAAAGAUCAAAGGGCACGUGGCAAUAUGCAGCACCACAGUAGAAGAAAGUUCAACAAAUAACAUGACAUCAGUGAUAACGUCCACAAACAAGAACCAAAACCAUUUAUCAGUGGAGCCAACAUCUUAUUCGUUAUUUUCCAAAUCAUCGU